AAUAAUAAAAUGAAUAAAAUAAAAGAAUAAAUGUGUCAUCUUUUUCAUUCUCUUUUUACCAGCCGAAUAUGAAGCUUGAGAAGCCAUGGAAGAAGCUUUCAACUUUCGGCUAAUGCAUGAUCAAGAUCGGGUGAAAAAUCGAGGAAAAUGAGAAAAUUACCAAAAUACCCCUGAACUUUGGUAUCUCUACAAUUUAGCCAGGUUUAUACUUUAGCUCGAGUUGGAAGGACCGGAGAUAUCAUCACAUUAUCGAGUCAUUAUGUGAGUUGAGAAGAUUGUAUAUCAUCAUGGUUUAAGGCAUGUAUAGGAUAGACUAUAGGUAGAAUGAUAUUUCGACUUGUAUACAUUAUAGCCAUGCAAAGAUGGCUUGCUCAUUUUGUUUAGAGAAGCCUUAUAAUUAAACUAAUGUGGUGAAAUGUUUUAGUUAUAACUUGAUAGUAUUUAAAUUGUUAUUAGAUAUUCGGUUA